ACGGUAAAUGGUAAUACAUGGCGUUAUCUAAUUUGUCACGAAUUUGUUUCCGGGCAACGCCGGGUAAUUCAGCUAGUAUAAUAUAUAAAUAAAUAAUAAUUGAUUUUUAUUAAAAUAUAUAUUUGUGGAAGAAUACCAGGGUAGAAGAAAAUAAAUCAUUUUUUAAUGUCUCACUGAUUUUUUAAAAAAAACCAGACAUACUUCACACCACGUGUGGGCCAAUGUUGCAGGUGAUAAGACGGGUAGAUACAAUAUAGAGGAAACUAAAUUUAUUUAUGAACGCAAUGAUUAAUAAUAAUUGCUAAUGAAAAAU